rnacentral:rRNA from 1 species
GACGAACGCUGGCGGCGUGCCUAAUACAUGCAAGUCGAACGCUUCUUUCCUCCCGAGUGCUUGCACUCAAUUGGAAAGAGGAGUGGCGGACGGGUGAGUAACACGUGGGUAACCUACCCAUCAGAGGGGGAUAACACUUGGAAACAGGUGCUAAUACCGCAUAACAGUUUAUGCCGCAUGGCAUAAGAGUGAAAGGCGCUUUCGGGUGUCGCUGAUGGAUGGACCCGCGGUGCAUUAGCUAGUUGGUGAGGUAACGGCUCACCAGGGCCACGAUGCAUAGCCGACCUGAGAGGGUGAUCGGCCACACUGGGACUGAGACACGGCCCAGACUCCUACGGGAGGCAGCAGUAGGGAAUCUUCGGCAAUGGACGAAAGUCUGACCGAGCAACGCCGCGUGAGUGAAGAAGGUUUUCGGAUCGUAAAACUCUGUUGUUAGAGAAGAACAAGGACGUUAGUAACUGAACGUCCCCUGACGGUAUCUAACCAGAAAGCCACGGCUAACUACGUG